GCUAAAGCGGAGGGACCAAUCCUGUAAAUAACCCUCACCACGAAAACGCACGGGUCCUCGGGGUGCCUGGGGACGGGUCGGGUCAGACUCUCUAGACGGUGUCAUUUUAAGGCUACAGAUCAUGCCUUAAAUGGCACCGUUUCGCAUCACCGAAUAAAAGAGGACAAGGCCUCUGAAAACCCUAGACAUUUCAGUCAAAACAAUGGGGAAAGGGGGAACCUAAAGGUUCUGCGCCGUUCGGCCACCAUUUCAUCACUGCGACGAUGAAUGACGACCUUCGGUGACCCCCCCUUUUCGCUCCUUCGUCCGCUCCAGCGUGGAACUCAUCAAUUUAAGCCCCGAAAUCCCAUCUCCAACUUCGACUUCAGCGAAGGAGAUGAGGUCUUCAAUGGCUCGUUAUGCAAAGGUAUAGGUGCGUGGCGCUUGGGUACGGACUGUACUGGCGUACGGAGGCUGUGCUGGACAGUACGGAGGCCAGGGUUGGCAUGGACGGAGGCGCUGGGGGGCUCGAACUGCUGCGGCGCAAUCAGACAGCUAGGGCUCUGUGCAAUCUUAGUAUUUUGGGCCUAUCGGGUCUUGUAAGUUUUGGUUAGGUUUAGUAGUUGGGCUGGGGUUAUGUAGCAGGUUUGGGGCUGUUAGUUUUGAUUUUUGGGCCUGUAAAAACUGGACUUUAAAUUUUUAAAUUUUAUUUUUAAUUUAUUCUUGUGGUUUGGGCCCGGGCAUAAUUUGGGCCUUA